ACCCUCCAGCUUCCUUCCGAAUCUGAUCUAAACAUUGGUCUGGAUGCUCCUAAAAGGUAGAGAAAUAACAGUGAAACAGACUUGGAUCUUUCAUGUCAUACAAGAGUGUUUCCCAACAAAC
rnacentral:snoRNA from 1 species